rnacentral:rRNA from 1 species
UACGUAGGGUGCAAGCGUUGUCCGGAAUUAUUGGGCGUAAAGAGCUCGUAGGCGGUUUGUCGCGUCGAAUGUGAAAACCCGGGGCUCAACCCCGGGCCUGCAUUCGAUAGCGGGCAGACUAGAGUUCGGUAGGGGAGUCUGGAAUUCCUGGUGAGCGGUGAAAUGCAUAGAUAUGAUUAUAGAACACCGAUUGCGAAGGCAGCUAACUAAGCAUAUAUUGACGCUGAGGCACGAAAGCGUGGGGAUCAAACAGG